rnacentral:rRNA from 1 species
CCUACGGGAGGCAGCAGUGGGGAAUAUUGGGCAAUGGACGCAAGCCUGACCCAGCAACGCCGCGUGAAGGAAGAAGGCUUUCGGGUUGUAAACUUCUUUUAAGGGGGAAGAGCAGAAGACGGUACCCCUUGAAUAAGCCACGGCUAACUACGUGCCAGCAGCCGCGGUAAUACGUAGGUGGAAAGCGUUGUCCGGAUUUACUGGGUGUAAAGGGCGGGCAGCCGGGGAGACAAGUCAGAGGUGAAAUCCACGGGCUCAACCCGUGAACUGCAUUUGAAACUGUCUGCCUUGAGUGUCGGAGAGGUAAUCGGAAUUCCUGGUGUAGCGGUGAAAUGCGUAGAUAUUAGGAAGAACACCAGUGGCGAAGGCGGAUUACUGGACGAUAACUGACGGUGAGGCGCGAAAGCGUGGGGAGCAAACAGGAUUAGAUACCCGAGUAGUC